CGCGUAGGCUGUUGAGUAAGUCAAAUGUGAAAUCCCCGGGCUUAACCUGGGAACUGCAUUCGAUACUGCUUAACUAGAGUAUGGUAGAGGGAAGUGGAAUUCCAGGUGUAGCGGUGAAAUGCGUAGAUAUCUGGAGGAACAUCAGUGGCGAAGGCGACUUCCUGGACCAAUACUGACGCUGAGGUGCGAAAGCGUGGGGAGGCAAACA
rnacentral:rRNA from 1 species